rnacentral:lncRNA from 1 species
UAGCUGCAAUGAAAAUUUCUAUCGGGACGCGCGUCCUCGUGUGUGUGUGUUUAGGACAUGCGCCUUUAGUAAACCCUGCCCAAACCCAAAAACACCGCCAAGCUAUUCCCCCCCCCUCUUCGCUACAGCUAGUUAUUUAUUCCACUUUGUGUUUGGACGCAAAACCAUUGCUAAUUCCAGUCAUUUUCCUCCUUUUUCUUUUUCCUAUGAUAUUUGCUCCAAAACGAAAAAAAAAUUUUUUUUAAUGACGUCAUAAUCACCGGUGUUUAUUUAAAUGUCUAUCGGCUACAUCGCGCCCUGACAUUUAGACAGAAAAGGAGGUGGUGAGCGUUGAACAAAAAAAGAAAUCCUAAGCGGUGCAGGUAAAAAAAAAAUAUAUAGGUGAGGGAUUGGAACGAUUAUAAAGGUACGGGCUGAAUGCAUAUAGAAGUUUGAUGGAGCCAGUGAAACCCUUCGACCUCAUCCGCGCCGCUCCAACAAAUGGAAUUAUCUGUUGAGAAAGCUGAUGGAAAGACAACAACAACAACAACAACAAAAAAGGGCCUUGGCGCAAGGACAAAUCCACUUCGUAUGGGGGAAUAUAAAUAGUAAACUUUAGAAGCCUCGGCUACAAAAGAAAAAAUCCAUUUUUUUCUGUUUCUAUACAAGAGGGUCAAUGACAUCAUUCGAUAUGCGUGUAACGGGCGGACGACUGGCCAGUUUACAAAAAAAAAGGACGACGGGUGGUGGUUCCCAUCCGGUCGCCUUCUUUUUCGUGAGAGAGAAAACGAAUAGAAAAAAACAAAAAAAACUCGAAAUCGAGAAGCGGAAGGAUCCAGUUGGCCACACCAAGGGCAGUACAGCCUGUGUGAUUUGUUUUUUUCCUCGUCCCCAAAGAACCACAGACUCCCGCGCCAUUCACGUUCUCUACAUUUGAGUAUCAACAGAUAGAGUCGUAAAAAAAAACAAGAAACGAAAAAAUACGAAAAACACGAAUGUUCGUUAGCAAGGACCCAAAGACGAACAAAGAAGAAACAAUCAAACAAGUUCUUCCCAUUUAAGUAUUUUACGAACGUGAUUGUUAUCGUGGCAAAAAAAAAAAGAAAAAGGGCAGACGAAGAUUCGUGAAAAAAAAAGGAGCGACUCAUCGAGCCACGAGAACUGGUUUCUUGUAUUAAAUGGCACGGAAUAAGAAAAAACGGUAAAGUAGCCCACAUUUUGACGUUAGGUAAUAUGCAAAGACCUCACACACACGCAAACACAUUCACAGUGUGUCCAAGCAUAUUGAAUUGAAUUUGACACCGCCCAGUCACGCCCUCGAUCGUGAAUGGCCCGUAUACACUCAAUCUAAACCGACAACAACAAUGUGAAUUUCAACAAAACAACACAGAAUGACCUGCUGCUAAAUAGCCAAUCAUCGAGUAUUGCCUAGCAAACAAAACCAUUGUCCGGCUGAUGAACGGGAGAAAGAAAAAAGGAAAGCAAAUGGAAUGUAAAAAAAAAACAAAAGAAAGAAAAAUUUUUUGUUUUGAGAAAAAGGGCCGAAGGGCUGCCAUUGAAAACGUCCGACAUUGCUACAUCUCGGUUUUAUUAUUAUUUGCCUUUUAUCUCUUUUUAUUCAGUCACACCUUGUUAAUAAAACUGAAACGUCACUUGUUUUUCUCUCGCUCGAUUCUUUUUUUCAAAGUUACGUUCACUGUGCGAGCGUAGGAAGAUUGUUAUACAUUCCGUCCAUCCAUGAACACCUAAUGUAUCGGAUCGCCGUUGCGGUUCUACUUG